CGUACCCUGCUGUGCACGUGAUGGGUAUCACGCGUUGAGCCAACGUUUACUAUCUUAGGGAAGUGGCUUACGGUGAGGCAAUGCAGUAGCUCUCGGGCAAGGCAACGCACUCACGACAACAUAUUCCCACCUGCGAAAGCAGGUUCAACCAAGGAGCCCACACGGCACGGCGGGGCGCCC
rnacentral:other from 1 species